rnacentral:rRNA from 1 species
UCCAGACUCCUACGGGAGGCAGCAGUGAGGAAUAUUGGUCAAUGGGCUUACGCCUGAACCAGCCAAGUCGCGUGAGGGAAGACUGCCCUAUGGGUUGUAAACCUCUUUUGUCGGGGAGCAAAAGACGCCACGCGUGGCGUUCCGAGAGUACCCGAAGAAAAAGCAUCGGCUAACUCCGUGCCAGCAGCCGCGGUAAUACGGAGGAUGCGAGCGUUAUCCGGAUUUAUUGGGUUUAAAGGGUGCGCAGGCGGAAGAUCAAGUCAGCGGUAAAAUUGGGAGGCUCAACCUCUUCGAGCCGUUGAAACUGGUUUUCUUGAGUGAGCGAGAAGUAUGCGGAAUGCGUGGUGUAGCGGUGAAAUGCAUAGAUAUCACGCAGAACUCCGAUUGCGAAGGCAGCAUACCGGCGCUCAACUGACGCUCAUGCACGAAAGUGUGGGUAUCGAACAGGAUUAGAUACCCGUGUAUC